rnacentral:rRNA from 1 species
UGGGGAAUUUUGGACAAUGGGCGCAAGCCUGAUCCAGCAAUGCCGCGUGCGGGAAGAAGGCCUUCGGGUUGUAAACCGCUUUUGUCAGGGAAGAAACGAGUUUCUCUAAUACAGAGACUUAAUGACGGUACCUGAAGAAUAAGCACCGGCUAACUACGUGCCAGCAGCCGCGGUAAUACGUAGGGUGCGAGCGUUAAUCGGAAUUACUGGGCGUAAAGCGUGCGCAGGCGGUUAUAUAAGACAGAUGUGAAAUCCCCGGGCUCAACCUGGGACCUGCAUUUGUGACUGCAUCGCUGGAGUGCGGCAGAGGGGGAUGGAAUUCCGCGUGUAGCAGUGAAAUGCGUAGAUAUGCGGAGGAACACCGAUGGCGAAGGCAAUCCCCUGGACCUGUACUGACGCUCAUGCACGAAAGCGUGGGGAGCAAACA